AUUGCAGAAAUAGCCGUUUGGCAUUUUUAAAAUUUAGCCAUUUGACCACUCAAAUUUAAUUUAACCCCAAACUUUAUAUAAUUACACAAUUUCCCAUUUCUCAACUAUAAAUACCCCCUCAUUCUUUCAUUUAAAUUCACCAAUUCAUCAAUCUUACUCAAUCUCUCUCAAUCUCUCUCAAGCUCUCUUUCAGUCUUUCUGUGGAAGUGCUUAAUUUUUGUUGCAAAUUCGUGAAACAUUGUGAAGUUGUUGAAUUGAAGUUUUCAAGUGUUCAAUUACAACGAUUGUCAAUUUUCAAGAAGUUNNNN
rnacentral:lncRNA from 1 species